rnacentral:lncRNA from 1 species
AUAACAAAAUGAAGUGCUUCAGAUUUGCUCUGCUCCUGAUUGGGCUGGCGGGACUGGCGAGUGCACAGAAUGAAGCACCUCGAUCCGAUUGGCCUAUUUGGCAACAACAACAACCACUUCAAAACCAACAACAACAACAACAACCACCUCAACAACAACUACCAGCACCGCAACUACCACAAUAUCCACCACAACAACAACCACUACCUCCCCCUCCCUCUCCCCCUCCCCCUCCACCAACAGCAAAACCAGCUCCUCCUGCUCCUCCUGCUCCGCCAGCAGGAGGUGGAAGAGACAGCGACAAAAAGAAUGUUAAUAGGAAUACAAAUAAUAUCAAAGUUGGAUAGAUAGAAGGAGUGGAUCUAUUGUUUCUAAACGAGAAUAAAAAUCAUUCUUAUUGGGCAGAGUUGGAAAGCGGGAAAGCAAUGAGAAAAUCUAAAUUAUGACAUAAUUAAAUGUUGAACUUUUUUUCUGGAUAAUAUCAAUAACAAAUUGCAGGUGUUUUUACUCGACAGAAAUCAAAGUACGUUCCCAAUAUAUUUGUAAAAGAGAUAAGUAUAAAGUUAGAGCAACACAUUUUCUUGGAAUUAUCAAAAUUAUAAAAAUACUACAAAUACACAUGAAAUCCCCUUUGAACUUUACGCUAACUACCUAUGGAAUAUUGUCAAUUAUUUAUGGUAUUAUCCUUUUUAGUUUCAGUCAUCCAAUCCACUAAAGAUUUCCUUGAAAUUUAAGUUAACUACCAUUUGGCAUGGCAUAAGAGGGGUCGUCACGAAAUCGAAAUGCGCAUUUUCUACCUUAUAAAAUGUCUUAUUCUGGUAUGGGCAUCUGCUCACCUUGAUAAUGAGAACACGUGAAUACCAACACAAUCAUCAUCGACGAUAGAAAGUAGUUUAGUGGCGAUCAAAACAAGUAAC